UACGUAGGGUGCGAGCGUUGUCCGGAAUUAUUGGGCGUAAAUGGCUCGUAGGCGGUUUGUCGCGUCGGGAGUGAAAACCUCGGGCUUAACUCGGGGCUUGCUUUCGAUACGGGCAGACUAGAGGUAUGCAGGGGAGAACGGAAUUCCUGGUGUAGCGGUGAAAUGCGCAGAUAUCAGGAGGAACACCGGUGGCGAAGGCGGUUCUCUGGGCAUGAUCUGACGCUGAGGAGCGAAAGUGUGGGGAGCGAACAGG
rnacentral:rRNA from 1 species